rnacentral:rRNA from 1 species
AACGAACGCUGGCGGCAUGCCUAACACAUGCAAGUCGAACGAGACCUUCGGGUCUAGUGGCGCACGGGUGCGUAACGCGUGGGAACCUGCCUUUAGGUUCGGAAUAACUCAGAGAAAUUUGAGCUAAUACCGGAUGAUGUCUUCGGACCAAAGAUUUAUCGCCUUUAGAUGGGCCCGCGUUGGAUUAGCUAGUUGGUGGGGUAAAGGCCUACCAAGGCGACGAUCCAUAGCUGGUCUGGGAGGAUGAUCAGCCACACUGGGACUGAGACACGGCCCAGACUCCUACGGGAGGGAGCAGUGGGGAAUAUUGGACAAUGGGCGAAAGCCUGAUCCAGCAAUGCCGCGUGAGUGAUGAAGGCCUUAGGGUUGUAAAGCUCUUUUACCCGAGAUGAUAAUGACAGUAUCGGGAGAAUAAGCUCCGGCUAACUCCGUG